rnacentral:rRNA from 1 species
GCGGCGAAAGGGUGAGUAAUGCUUCGUUAAUGUACCCAUGGGACCGGGAUAAUUCCUGGAGGCGGGUUGUAAUACCGGAUGAGACCCCAGGCACCACGGUGCCGGUGGUCAAAGGCAUGUUGCUUUCGGGCGCAUGCGCCGAUGGAGCGGACGAAGUCUGAUUAGCUUGUUGGUGGGGUCACGGCCUACCAAGGCGAUGAUCAGUAGCGGGCCUGAGAGGGUGGCCCGCCACACUGGGACUGAGACACUGCCCAGACUCCUACGGGAGGCUGCAGUCGCGAAUCAUUCACAAUGGACGGAAGUCUGAUGAUGCCAUGCCGCGUGCGGGAGGAAGGCCUUCGGGUUGUAAACCGCUGUCGAGAGGGGGGAAGUAUUGACUGCCCUCUGGAGGAAGCCCCGGCUAAACACGUGCCAGCAGCCGCGGUAAUACGUGUGGGGCAAGCGUUGUUCGGAAUCACUGGGCUUAAAGGGUGCGUAGGCGGUCUAUCAAGUCAGGGGUGAAAUCCCGCGGCCCAACCGUGGAAUUGCCUUUGAUACUGGUGGGCUUGAG